CCACUGCUAUCGGGGUGAGACUUAGGCAUGUUAGUCGUACGCCUCCCAGCCGUCGGAGGAGGAGUGGCGUACGGCUCAGUAACACGUAGUUAACCUGCCCUCAGGACAGAGAUAACCCUGGGAAACUGGGGCUAAUGCCUGAUAGAUGAGGAAGCCUGGAAUGGUUCUUCGUUGAAAGGGCGUUGAGGUCGUGCUUUCAACGUCGCCUGAGGAUGAGACUGCGGCCGAUCAGGUUGUUGGUGAGGUAACGGCUCACCAAGCCAGUAACCGGUACGGGCCGUGAGAGCGGUAGCCCGGAGAUGGGCACUGAGACAAGGGCCCAGGCCCUACGGGGCGCAGCAGUCGCGAAAACUCUGCAAUACGCGAAAGCGUGACAGGGUUACCCCGAGUGCCGCUCGCAGAGAGUGGCUUUUCUCUGGUGUAAUGAGCCGGAGGCAAUAAAGGGAGGGCAAGAAUGGUGUCAGCCGCCGCGUAACACCAGCUCCCUGAGUGGUGGGGAUGAUUAUUGGGCUUAAAGCGUCGUAGCUGGCCUGAUUAGUCCUGGCGUGAAUCUGCGACUUAAUCGUCAGCUGCGUGGAUACGGUCAGGCUUGGGAGGCGGGAGAAGCCGACGUACNUGGGGUAGGGUGGAAAUCCAGUAAUCCCAGGGGACACCAGUGGCGAAGGCGGUCGGCUAGAACGCGUCCGACGGUGAGGGACGAAAGCUGGGGGAGCGAACCGGAUUAGAUACCCGGGUAGUCCCAGCUGUAAACGAUGCAGGCUGGCUGUUGGGGUGAGCUACGAGCCAUCCCAGUGACCAAGGGAAACCCGUUAAGCCUGCCGCCUGGGCAGUAAGGUCGCAAGACUGAAACUUAAAGGAAUUGGCGGGGGAGCACCACAAGGGGUGAAGCUUGCGGUUCAAUCGGAGUCAACACCGGAAAUCUUACCGGGGCUGACAGCAGAAUGAAGGCCAGAUUGGAGGUCUUGCCGGACAAGCUGAGAGGUAGUGCAUGGCGGUCGCCAGUUCGUGCCGUGAGGUGUCCUGUUAAGUCAGGCAACGAACGAGACCCACAUCCUUAGUUGCCACCAGAUCCCGGUGGGGUCUGAGCACUCUAAGGGGACUGCCACCGAUAAGGUGGAGGAAGGAGUGGGCUACGACAUGUCCGUAUGCUCCGUAUGCUCCGGGCCACACGCGAGCUGCAAUGGUAGGGACAAUGGGUUUCGACUCCGAGAGGAGAAGGUAAUCCCUAAACCCUACCGUAGUUGGGAUCGAGGGCUGAAACUCGCCCUCGUGAACAUGGAAUCCCUAGUAAUCGCGCGUCACUAACGCGCGGUGAAUACGUCCCUGCUCCUUGCACACACCGCCCGUCGUUCCACCCGAGUGGAGUCAGGAUAAGGCGCAGUCACUUGGCUGCUUCGAAUCUGGACUUUGCGAGGAGGG
rnacentral:rRNA from 1 species